ensembl:lncRNA
CAAAACAAAUAGCGCGAAAUUAGCUUGUUUGAAUUGUUUUCAUUUUUGAGUAGCCUACUUAGCAAGUGCAGUUAUGGAGGGUGGAGAUUUAGAUUAUUUACUUAAAAAUAAUUUUACCAAACUACCACAACAGCAGCGAAUCAAAAUAAAAUCCGAUGGCAGGUCAACACCGAAGCUGAAACUGCGCGUUGAGAGAAAGCAAGGCUUCUUUCGGACGUUCAAUGAAGAAAACUACGCAAACGGAGUGGCUAGCUGGCAGCAGCAAACCUCAGCGACUAUUUUGCUGGCCGUGUCUUCUUUUUGACAAGGAUUCGUGCUCCCUCAACAAUCCCUCGGUCACUACAGGAUUCGUGGACCUUGCCAACUUGUCCCGGGCAAUCGAGAGGCACGGAACAACCCGAGUUGCCCCAAGAGGACUUGGCAGCAAAUGAAGAUGAAGUACAAAAAUAUAGUUCAAACAGCAGAGCCCCGGCAGACUGGAGGGGGUCCACCUCUGCAGCCCUCACAGAGGCUGAGGAGAUGGCCCUCAGCCAACAGAGUAUGGGUCCUGUGGCUGAGGGCAUCCCUGGGGGGAGCUCCUCUGAUCCCCCCCACCCCCCAGGAUAGAAGUGCCUUUAUAAGAGUUACUGAUGGCGUCAUCGCCCUACUUUAACCAGAUGCCCUCACCAACCUCCAUGCAAUUGUAACAAUUCUUCACCUUCCACAGAUUAUUAAUAAUGUCUUGGUAAUUGCUGAACACAACCGUUAAUGUCAUUACAGGAAGAUGAUGGAGAAACAUUGUCUGCGGCAUUCGAAAGGGAAGAGGAAAGGCCUAUUGAGGUUAACACCUUUUAAAAAUAACCUCAAAAAGUUGAUGAUAGCGUUGUACAAUUUAAAACUGACAUCUUCUUUCUCCACUUCUAAAUCACAUCUUACCUCUGUAAGAUUCUCCCGGGAUUAUAAUGAAACGCUCUACUUGGCACUGUGAAAUCCAAUCUCAUCUUUUGCAUUCCUAUAGCUUCCAGUCAAAGACUUAUAUAAAAUCUAUCUAGAAAAGCAAAUACACAAAACAGACUUGGAAAUGGACCACCUUAGGCAAAAGGAUGCUUUGGAGAUCCAAAUAUUGGAACAUAAGUUAAAGGUGGGUGAGGUGCAAACUGGGAUACUGUUCCCUGCUCUAAAAACAUACCCAAUAUGAAUGACUUUUUUUGUGCUUUCAGGAAAUAAAGAAAUCCUCAUAAAAAGUAGAUUUUCUUUAUUAGAACACGGGCUGUGGUGGGACAAGUUAUUUUGUUGAACAGUUUACUCAAAGGGUUUUACUCCAGUGAACAAUGCAGACGAUUAUGCUGAGCAUGUGCAUGUAGAGAAGAAGCAUCUGGUUAAAAGCAGUAGCCUACCAGGGUAUUUUCUGCCUUGCAUUCUUAAUAUGCGUUUCUUGACUUGCAGCAGUUAUAGGUCUGUGGUUAGUCAGCUACUCUGAUCAUGGGAAAGCCACAACGUUAAAGUGACUGUAGUACAGAGCGGGUGGGUUGCACGGGGCGGAUCAUUCUGCAAAUGCGUUAAUUGCGUUAAAAAAAAAACGUAAACUUAAAGCAUGCCCCCGGUGCGUUUGAGAGUUAACAUGGGGGCUGAGAAGGUGG